rnacentral:rRNA from 1 species
CCAAUAGCGUAUAUUAAAGUUGUUGCAGUUAAAAAGCUCGUAGUUGAAUUUCGGGAUUGACACAUCGGUCGUGCCUUAAGGGGUAUGAACUGGUGUAGUCAAUUUCUCACCUUCUGGAGAACCGCGAUGCCCUUAAUUGGGUGUCGCGGGGAACCAGGACCUUUACUUUGAAAAAAUUAGAGUGUUUAAAGCAGGCAUUUUGCUUGAAUACAUUAGCAUGGAAUAAUAAAAUAGGACGGCAUGAUUCUAUUUUGUUGGUUUCUAGGAUCACCGUAAUGAUUAAUAGGGAUAGUUGGGGGCAUUAGUAUUCAAUUGUCAGAGGUGAAAUUCUUGGAUUUAUUGAAGACUAACUACUGCGAAAGCAUUUGCCAAGGAUGUUUUCAUUAAUCAAGAACGAAAGUUAGGGGAUCGAAGACGAUCAGAUUCCGUCGUAGUCUUAACCAUAAACUAUGCCGACUAGGAAUCAGACGAUGUUAAUUUUUUAAUGACUCGUUUGGCACCUUACG